CGCCCCCACCAGUGCCGGUAUCUCCAGCAGCGCUUCCAACCUUCCAACCGCUCACCCACCGCAGCGGGAGCAGCCAGCGACUUCCAGGGACAUGGAGAGCCAAGGACACAGAGCUGCAUCUGUCCUGGCUGGCUCCUGGCUCUCCUGCAUCCUCCAAGCCCCCAGGGUGGGAGCCCUGCAGGAGCCAGACAUGAUCCUGGAGAACAUCAGCUGGGCUGCCGAGGAAGCCCAGGGCAACGACUCCUCGGAGCACGCGUUCUUCUCUCUGGAUUACCAGCACGUCCAGGUGCCCUUUGAAAUCACGCUCUGGAUCAUGCUGGCAUCCUUGGCUAAGAUAGGGUUCCAUCUCUACAACAAGCUGCCUUCUGUCGUUCCUGAAAGCUGUUUGUUGAUAUUUGUGGGACUCAUCAUGGGGGGAAUCAUCUAUGGAUUAAAUGAUAGAUCACCACCAGUGAUGGACAGCGACAUCUUUUUCCUCUACCUCCUGCCCCCCAUCGUGCUGGACGCCGGCUACUUCAUGCCCAGCCGCCCCUUUUUCGAGAACAUCGGCACCAUCCUGCUCUACGCGGUGGUGGGCACCAUCUGGAACGUGUUUGGGAUUGGCUUUUCCCUGUAUGGGAUCUGCCAGGUGAAAGCCUUCCAGCUGCAGGACGUGUCCCUGCUGCACAACCUCCUGUUCGGCAGCCUCAUUGCCGCCGUGGACCCCGUGGCCGUGCUGGCCGUCUUUGAGGAGAUUCACGUCAACGAGAAGCUGCACAUCCUGGUUUUUGGGGAAUCGCUCCUCAACGACGCUGUGACCGUGGUGCUCUACAAGCUCUUCCGCUCUUUCUGUGAGAUGCCGACCAUCAAAAGUGUGGAUGUUUUUGCCGGAGUUGGAAAAUUCUUUGUGGUUGGGCUGGGAGGAGUUUUAGUGGGGCUGAGUUUUGGGUUCACCGCCGCCUUCACCACGCGCUUCACCAAGGACAUCCGCGUCAUCGAGCCCCUCUUCGUGUUCCUGUACAGCUACCUGUCCUACCUCACUGCAGAGAUGUUCCACCUCUCUGGGAUCGUGGCCAUCAUUUCCUGUGCCAUGGGCAUGAAGCGUUACGUGGAGGCCAACAUCUCCCUCAAAUCCCACACCACAGUUAAGUACUUCAUGAAGAUGUGGAGCAGCGUGAGCGACACCCUCAUCUUCAUCUUCCUUGGAGUUUCCACCAUCGGAGAAAACCACGAGUGGAACUGGCCCUACAUUUGCUUCACGGUCAUUUUCUGUCUCAUUUGGAGAGCACUUGGGGUUCUGGUGCUGACUUUCUUUGUGAACAGAUUUCACGUGAACACCAUCACCAGUAAGGACCAGUUCAUCAUUGCCUACGGGGGGCUCCGAGGGGCCAUUUGCUUCUCUUUGGUUUUCCUGCUGCCUGACUUCCACAGGAAAAAGCUCUUCAUUGCAGCAACAACUGUUGUCAUCCUCUUCACCGUGUUCAUACAGGGAAUGACCAUCCGUCCCCUUGUUGACCUGUUGGCUGUCAAGAGGAAAAGGGAGAGUGCUCCCACCGUGGGAGAGCAGAUCCACAUUCGGUUCUUGGAUCAUUUGCUGGCUGGCAUUGAAGAUAUAUCUGGACACUGGGGACAGUAUUACUGGAAAGACAAAUUGGAGUAUUUCAACAGCAAAUACCUGCAGAAGAUCCUGCUCAGGGAGUACGACCAGCCCAAGUCCAGCAUCGUGCUGCUCUACGAGAAGCUGGAGCGCAAACACGCCAUCGAGCUGGCCCAGGCCGGGCAGCUGGGCCACGGCCCAGCCCACCCCUCCUUUCUCAGCAGCGACAGGACUGUCAUAACAGACCAAAAAUUGGAUGACACUCCAAAUCCCAAUGUCCUGGACAACAUAGAGGAAAUAUUGGCGAGGAACCUGUACCGGAUCAGGAGGAUGGGCCCGGCGUACAACAGGCACACCCUGCCUGGGGACAGCGAGCCCACGGAGCAGGCCAAGGAGAUCCUGAUCCUGCGGCACAAGAGCCUGCUGGUGGAAGUGAGCGGGAGCGACACCUGCAGCUCCAGGAAGGAGUCCCAGAAGGAGGACUCAUGUUCGGCGCAGGGCGAGGCCACCCCGCAGCCCAAGCUCUGCCGCUCCUUCACUGUGGGGAACACAGAGAAGGCUCGGGAAGGGAAGGAGAGCCGAUCCAAGUCCGUGUGUGCCAUCCCACCGCCCCAGCCCACCGGCGUGACCGUGGGGAGGAAAGACGUGAGGAAAGAGCUGACUCUGGAGAUGUACAAACACAAGGGAUGCUCUGGCUCCCCAUGAGGGGUCUGGCUCCUUCACGGAGGGCUGCUCGAUGUGUAGAUAAUGUAAAUAAGAUGCAUGUUGGAAAGGACAGCAUGAACAGGGUGGAAUAUUCAGAGUGGUUUGCGUGGAAAAUUGCUCUUAUUGCCCAGGGCUGGGUUUUUAGUGGGAACUGAGGGAAAAGAUGUCCAGCUGAGCACCAGCAAUGCCAGGGAAUGGCUGAGGGAGCAUUUCUAAAGAAUUUCUAGGAAAAAUUAGCCUGUUCAGUCUGGGAGAAUUGCUGAAACUGCCUACAACUGCAAGGAAGGAUGUUUUAAUAAGGUGAGAUACGGGAUCUUCUUGUUAGUUUUCAGGGACAGGCUAAACAGCAGGGAGCAUUUGGAUUAUAGGUUGGGAAGAACUUGAUAAUCUCAAAUGAGGUUUUAUUAGGGGAUGGAGGAAAGAGCAGAAACAGCAACAGAUCUUUUCUGUUCCUGGGGAACGGAUGGAUCCUGGUUAUGAACUUUAAUCUCAUGAAGCCCAAAAUUAAAUGGCGUGGUUAAAUAAGGGGUUGUGUCUUACCUGAGGGAUUGUCCCACACCCAGCCACAGUUCUGCUAAUGAAAAAUUAUUGCAGCUGAGCUCAAAGGGAGAAAUAUGUUCUUACUGAUUUUUAAAAAUUUAUGGAAGGAAUGGUUCACCUCAAAGUUAAAAUGAAGAAGCUCCAAAUCCAGUGGUGAUACCAGGAGAUGAGGGUGACAGCCCUUAAAUAGAUGGGAAAGUUUUCUGAUGUGAUUGGUUGGUUGCAUCAAUGCUGUAAAGAUAUUUUGGGGUGAUCUGUGCUGCCAUAGCUGGGAGCUGUGGGAUCAAAGGGGUUUGAAAGUGCCAAGAGGGUGACCCAAACCCUGGCUGCUUCUCCCAGGAAAGGUGUGAGCCCUUUGCACAGCAGAUGCAGGUAAACUCCAGGGAUAGGACCUGAGGAAGACACAUAAUCCCAGCCUUGGGUAAUUUUCUUUGAAACUCCUGGUACGUUCAAGCCUUUGAAUUCUUGUCCUUACUGAACCUGACAGGACAAGUUUUAGUUUUGCAUUGACAUUUUUCUUUCUCUCCUUCCUCUGAUCCAAGAGUGUUUAAUCUGAGCAAGUGGCUCUUUUUGAAAUGGCAUUGAAAGAAGCUGUAGGAAUUCACAGGCUCCCCUCCAUGAUAUUUUUGGGCUCACAGAACCAGUCUCCUGUGUGCAGAAAUACUCCCUUAGGAGGCUCUUACAUGGUACAUUGGGGCUUCCAUUUUAAAUUAAAGGCACAAAUUUGUGUGUAUUUGCUUUGCAAUGAUCCGAGGUCUCAUUUUCUUCUGAACAAACACCUUUACAGUGUCCUGGCAUAGGCUGAGGUGGUUCAUGUUGACUUGAAGGUCACUCUGUCACUGGAAAUUCACCUCAUUGCAAAGGAAAAUUGGAGCUUUUAGCAAUAGAUGUGUGUUUUAUGUGUUUAUAUACAUAUAUGUACAUAUGUAUUGAUUUUAAUAUAGGCUCGUUGUCUUCUUCAGUUAAUUGAUUACAAUUUUGGUUUGUUUCCUAGUUGAAUCCAUCAUGCAUGGGAGCCAUGUGGAUUUGGCUGUACUUGGUUUAGAACACAGCCCAUCUUCGAUAAACAUUCAUAGGAGGAUUUAACUAAGGUGGGUAAUUUUUAUUCUGUAGUGGGAGAGCAAAAAGGAAAUUAAAUCAACUUGCUUGUCGAGGAGUUUUUAAUCAAGGAUAGAAACUGUGAUUGGCUAAUUCUUGCUUGGGUUUUGUUUGGUGUUUUUUUGGCUGUUUUGUUUUGGUUUUAUGCUUUUGCAUCUGAACUGUGGGUUUUUUUGUCCAAAAUACCUGGAUGUCUGUACCAUCUUUGUCUUGCUUCCAUCCUUGUCAUCUUUGUACAGCAGCCAUCAUUUUUCUGGGCAUCAGGCACUUAAAUAAGGAGCUUUUUCCAAUUGAGAUUCCCAUUAGUUCUCUGCAAUAUCAUUAUGGGUUAUCAAGGACCUUAUAAAAUGGUGGCUUUUUUGGCAGGGGUAGAUUUCUUUGUAAUACUGUUGCAGACAACAGAAGUGGCUGGAAAAAUGCCAGAAAACGGAAUGGAAAUUUUAUCUGAUGUGGGAAAAAAAGGUAAAAAAAAUUCCUUGCAUUUUUUUGAAAUGGUACAUUUUCAUCUCAGUUCAGCACGAGGGAUGUUUCCAUGCCAGGAUCUCCCAGUUUCUGGCAAUUCCAAAGGCUGCUGGCUCCAGGUGUGCAGUGGCUGCAGAGGCUGCUCCUGCCAGCCCCACAUUCCCAUGCACAGGCACUGGCUGGAUCCUUCACGGAUCCCAGUCCAUCAUUCCCUUCCAGCCCCACUUUGAGUGCUGGACCCAUCAAUACCUCCCUGCUUCAUGAAUAAUUUGCUUGAUCUGCAGAGAGUACAAUAUUCCCUGCAGGACAUUUUUUCCCAAUGAGUCACUCUGCCCUAAAUUUAACCUUCUGGAUACUGUGGAUUUUUUCUUAAAAUUUCUUUACAAAAUAUAAUAGCCCAGCUAAAGCUUUUAUGAAGUAUUUUCCAGUCACUUAGUGGCCAAGCCCUCUGACUAGUUUGUAUUUCAGCCCAGAGUACCUUUGAUAAUCUUUGCCAGUAUCCAGUGUUGGUGGUCUUAAAAUUAUACAACCGAGUGGAAAACUGUUAAGUGCUCAGGCUUCAGAGCGUGCCUAAUUAAUUCUUUCCAGGGUUUUAGUCCUUUAAAAAGUGUUAAAAACAUGGAUUCAGUGUAUCAUUGAAUAUUGCAUGGUUCUGUGGAAAUAAAUUGCAUCAGUUUGAUUCCUUUAGGAGUUCAGAGAGUUUUUGCUCUGUGCUUACUCUGGAAGUUUACAGGAGUAUGUGGAAAGUUCAGGUUAAAAUGGGCAAAAGUUGUUAAUGAGGGGGAGUAGCUCAAUGGCAAAGUUAGAGCCCAAAAACCACAUCAGAAAACUCUGUGCAAAGACAUCAAUCAGCUGCAUUUGAAAAUCAGGCAAAAUCUCCCUUGUACCCACAACUCCAAAAGCACUUCCUUAUGUGAACUUUAAUAUUUUUAUUUUGAGCAGAAAACCACACUUGUGUUUAUUUUAUUUCAUGACUGCUUAAGGAGAUUAUAAUGACUUAAUCCUGGAAAGAGCUGGCAGAGCUUGAGAAGCAGGUGAGGCAAAUUUGAGCUUUUUUCUCUCCUGACAUCAAGUCCUGGAGGGGAUUCAGCCUCAGAAGAACCAUUAAGGGUCUUUCAACAUCCAGGCUUAUGUGCUUCUUCCAAGAGACGUGGAGACGGGAGAGAUGAAAAGGGAGCAUGUGAUGGAGAUGAACUGGAGAUUUUCAUUUUAAUGCAGAAUUAAAGGGGCAAAUGUCAACAUGGGUAUCUAUUGCUCCCCCUUCCAGCACAGCUCAGACUGGGGGAUUGCUCUUGGUGAAACCAUCGGGGACGUUGGUGGCUUUAUCAAGGUAAAGCUGGCAGUGCUUGGGUGCUCUUGUUGUGAUCUGGUUUGCUUUGCUGUCCUUGGGUGUCUUGUGCUGAGGUCUGGGGAGAAAACAGUAAAAGAAGAGACUCGAAAGAGAUUCACUCGCCCACCUCAGGAAACGCCAUGUGGAAGGAAUAUCUUUUGGAGCAGGACAGAUCAUAGAACCAUGGAAUCGUUUAGUUUGGAAAAGACCUUUAAAAACACGGAGCCCAACCAUUCCCCCAG